AACGAACGCUGGCGGCGUGCCUAACACAUGCAAGUCGAACGAGAAUGCAGGCUUCGGUCUGCUAGUAAAGUGGCGCACGGGUGAGUAACACGUGGAUAACGUACAUUGUAGUGGGGGAUAACCAGGUGAAAGCUUGGCUAAUACCGCAUGAGUCUGUCGGGACGCAGGUUUUGACAGGGAAAGUGAGCAAUCACGCUACGAGAUCGGUCCGCGGCCCAUUAGCUAGUUGGCGGGGUAAUGGCCCACCAAGGCGACGAUGGGUAGCUGGUCUGAGAGGAUGAUCAGCCAUACUGGAACUGAGACACGGUCCAGACUCCUACAGGAGGCAGCAGUGGGGAAUUUUGCGCAAUGGGCGAAAGCCUGACGCAGCAACGCCGCGUGUGUGACGAAGGCCCUAGGGUUGUAAAGCACUGUGGGAGGGGAAGAAAAAACCGGAGUGUAUCCGGUCUUGACGGUACCCUGUUAGAAAGCACCGGCUAACUCCGUGCCAGCAGCCGCGGUAAU
rnacentral:rRNA from 1 species